UACGGAGGGUGCAAGCGUUAAUCGGAAUUACUGGGCGUAAAGCGUGCGCAGGCGGUUUGUUAAGUCCGCUGUGAAAUCCCCGAGCUCAACUUGGGAAUUGCAGUGGAUACUGGCAAGCUGGAGUACGGUAGAGGAAGGUGGAAUUCCCGGUGUAGCAGUGAAAUGCGUAGAGAUCGGGAGGAACACCAGUGGCGAAGGCGGCCUUCUGGACCAGUACUGACGCUCAUGCACGAAAGCGUGGGGAGCAAACAGG
rnacentral:rRNA from 1 species